CCGGGAAACUGGUGCUAAUACCGGAUAAUCUCCACCGGCGGCAUCGUUGGUGGAGGAAAGUCGGCCUCUGGAUAUGCUGGCGCUUGUCGAUGAGUUCACGUCCCAUUAGCUUGUUGGUGGGGUAACGGCCCACCAAGGCGACGAUGGGUAGCCGGCCUGAGAGGGUGGUCGGCCACACUGGGACUGAGACACGGCCCAGACUCCUACGGGAGGCAGCAGUGGGGAAUCUUCCGCAAUGGGCGCAAGCCUGACGGAGCGACGCCGCGUGAGGGACGAAGGCCUUCGGGUUGUAAACCUCUUUUCUGGGGGAAGAACGUCCGGCCUGUUAAUAGCGGGUUGGGUUGACGGUACCUCAGGAAUAAGCCCCGGCUAACUACGUGCCAGCAGCCGCGGUAAUACGUAGGGGGCGAGCGUUGUCCGGAAUCACUGGGCGUAAAGGGCGCGUAGGCGGCUUGAGAAGUCGCAGGUGAAAUCCCGCGGCUCAACCGUGGAACUGCCUGCGAAACCAUUGGGCUUGAGGACAGGAGAGGGAAGCGGAAUUCCUGGUGUAGCGGUGAAAUGCGUAGAUAUCAGGAGGAACACCAGUGGCGAAGGCGGCUUUCUGGCCUGGUCCUGACGCUGAGGCGCGAAAGCUAGGGGAGCAAACAGGAUUAGAUACCCUGGUAGUCCUAGCUGUAAACGAUGGGCACUAGGUGUUGGGGGGUUCAUACCCUUCAGUGCCGUAGGUAACCCAAUAAGUGCCCCGCCUGGGGAGUACGGUCGCAAGACUG
rnacentral:rRNA from 1 species